CGUAGGACACAAGCGUUAUCCGGAGUUACUGGGCGUAAAGGGCGUGUAGGCGGAUCGGUAAGUCUACUCUGAAAGCUCCUGGCUAAACUGGGAGAGGCGAGUGGAGACUGUCGGUCUAGAGUGAGGAAGAGGAAAGUGGAAUUCCGCGUGUAGUGGUGAAAUGCGUAGAGAUGCGGAGGAACACCAGUGGCGAAAGCGGCUUUCUGGUCCUUAACUGACGCUGAGGCGCGAAAGCAUGGGGAGCGAACGGGAUUAGAAACCCCGGUAGUCCAUGCCGUAAACGAUGUUCACUAAACGUUCGUUUCCCGCGAGGGAAGCGGGUGUUGAAGCUAACGCAGUAAGUGAACCGCCUGGGGAGUACGGUCGCAAGGCUA
rnacentral:rRNA from 1 species